rnacentral:rRNA from 1 species
AUUGAACGCUGGCGGCAGGCCUAACACAUGCAAGUCGAACGAGUGGGGGACGGGAGAGUAAUGUCUGGGACACUGCCUGCGGGAGGGGGUUAGCUACCGGAAACGGUAGCUAAUACCGCAUAACAGAAGAUGUUCCCCGAUGGGAUUAGCUAGGUGGUGGGGUAACGGCUCACCAAGGCGACGAUCCCUAGAUGGUCUGAGAGGAGUACCAGCCACACUGGAACUGAGACACGGUCCAGACUCCUACGGGAGGCAGCAGUGGGAAAUAUUGCACAAUGGGCGCAAGCCUGAUGCAGCCAUGCCGCGUGUAUGAAGAAGGCCUUCGGGUUGUAAAGUACUUUCAGCGGGGAGGCGUUACCCGCAGAAGAAGCACCGGCUAACUCCGUGCCAGCAGCCGCGGUAAUUC